rnacentral:misc_RNA from 1 species
AACCCUGCGGGCGGCAACAUCAACGCUCUGUGUGCAGUUGAAUAGCCUUCAUUAUGCUAUUAGCCAACUGAAUAAAUUGGAGGACAGCAUUUGGGCGCGAUGGACAAGGAAAAAGCAUCAUGAUAAAUUGACAAAGAACCCUGCGGAGGAAACCGCAAAAGGUUUCCAGAAGAAGGACUCAUUCGAUGGAAGCAGAAAGGAUAUCAAUGCUGCAAUUGACAGAAUGUGUGAAUUUACUGGAACAAAAAUCAUUUUCUGUGACUUGAGAGAACCAUUCAUUGAGAAUCUCUAUAAACCCAGUGUUUCACAGUCUAGGUUGGAAUCAGUAAUGGAGCCACUCGAUAUGGUUCUUAAUCAACUUUGUGAUGUGAUAAUGGAGCCACUGCGGGAUCGUGUUGUAACAGGACUGCUUCAAGCAUCACUGGAUGGCCUAGUCAGAGUUAUAUUAGAUGGAGGACCAUCACGUGUAUUCUCCCUGGGUGAUGCUAAGCUAUUGGAGGAGGAUCUAGAGAUCUUGAAGGAAUUCUUCAUUUCGGGUGGGGAUGGGCUUCCUCGUGGAGUAGUCGAAAAUCAAGUUGCACGUGUUCGGCAGGUGAUAAAGUUGCAAGGUUAUGAGACUAGGGAAAUAAUAGAAGACCUGAGAUCUGCUAGUGAGUUAGAAAUGCAGGGCGGAAGGGGUAAAUUAGGUGCUGAUACCAAGACCCUUCUUAGGAUCCUGUGUCAUCGAGGAGAGUCAGAGGCCUCUCAGUUUGUCAAGAAGCAAUUCAAAAUCCCCAAAUCUGGAGCUUAGUGUACUUGUUGUGCCAUUGAUGAGAUUGUAACAUAAUACACUAUCGAAACUUCAUUUUUAAGGAUCUCAUUUGUCAAUGAGACAGUCUGCUGCACAGAUUUUUUUUCUUCUUCAGGGAAUGUACUUAAAACGUAGUUUUUUGUUUACUAGUUAUAUGUAUAUGUUUAGUGUGCAGUCUUAAACCUAUUUGGAAGGCAUGUAUACACAAUUUCUGCUGUCA